CAUGGCCGCUGAGCCUGCGCGUCCGGAGCCUAUGCUCCGCAACGGGAGAGGCCACAGCAGUGAGAGGCCCGUACUGCAAAAACAGAAAAAACAAAAAACAAAUCAGUUCUGUGUUGCAGUUUCUGAUAAACAGGUCACGUGACUUCCCGCCUCCUCUGGGCGAGGCUGUGGCCCCGGGGCUGGAGGCUGGCAGUCAGGAAGGCGGGAUGGAUUCCAGACGCGGGACCCCGCCUGAGUUUGCACUUUCCUGGCAGCGGGAGCUCACAGUCUAGGCUUUUCUUUGACAGUCAAAAAAGGCUGCUUUGUUGUGUCUAGUGGGAGACUUUCCCUUCUUCCCUUCUAGGGUCUUCGGCUUGUGUAAUAAUUAAAUUGACAUAAAACAACUUAGCAGCAGAAAAACAAAUUUUGUGCAUACAGGAGCCCCAUAAAAACAUGAGACCCAAAGGGCAGCCAGAAAAUUGUGGCUUUGAUAACUUCCUGAGCCAAGGAGAGGGGUGGGGUCUGGGGUACAGAGGAAGGCCGGCAGCAGGAUGUUGGUGCAGAAAGGCUGCUCUGCAGUGUAUCUCUUAGCUCGCUUCCUGGUCUCCAGUGUAAAUUAGGCAGUUGAGAGGGAGGUAAAGCACUUUUCCUGAAUCUGCUGGACUCUGAUUGCCUUUAAAGCUCUUCAGGAGACCACCCAAGGCCAGAUUAAAGGAGCGCCGGCCCUGCACACACCCUGAUCCUUAUCAGCAGCCCUGCCCUUGAACCAUUGCUAUAAAACUCCUCACCAAAUCCUCCCCGGCUGGAAAACAGUUCUGAGGGCAUGAGCCCACUGUGUCCCUCUACCUGGCAAAGCAAUACAGCUAUUCUCUUCUACUUCACCCAGAACUCUGUCUUUGAGGUUCAAUUCAGCACUGGUGCACAGAGGCCAAGUUUUUGGCAUCAUUAUCACUGUCCCUCUCACCCUCAAUCAUCAGGCAAAGUUGAGAGGGCUAAAGGGAUCCUCAAAUGUCUAAAUUUGUCAAACCUACUGGACUCCGCGGGCCUAAGGGCUCACUGGCUGUUCAUAGGACCCCCUUUGGGAAACAAACUCACUCCACAGGAGAGAGUCACCGGGAGACAGAUGUCUAUUGGUAUCUGACCUUCUGCUGAUCCCUUGUCCCACGCUAGUGCGAUCAGCUACUGUAAGUCUCCACUGUCUUAUGCUCAAGCUUCUCAUCAACACUUUAAAGAAACUUUCCCAGUCCCAAUUCAAAGAAUCCUGUUGGUCAGUCUGGAGCCUCAUGACUGGGUCUUCUGGAAACUUCACCAGAGGAAGACAGCCUUCGAUGUUGGUGGAAGUGACCUUACUAAGUGCUCCUGACCACUGACACUGCUGCAAAAUUAGAAGGUACUGAGCCUUGGGUACACAUCUCACAGCUAAAGAAGGUCCCACCUGACAUCUGGUCCUGUGCAGACACUGGGGACCUCAGGAUCAAACAGACAAGGAGAAGCGGCGGCUGCCACCCAAGACGCUGGAUCAAGGAACAUCAUGACAAGACCAGGUUAAUGUCAACCGGAGUCAACUGACCAAGAACAAAGACCUUAGACUGCAGCCUCUCCUGCUUCCUGACCUCACCUCUGCACGCUUCCCCCUUCCCUGGCAUGAAAGAAGCCUGAAUUAAGAUGGUUCUUUCGGAUAUUAGUUUGCCAUCUUCUCGGAUUGCUCGCUUCUGAAUAAAGUCGCUAUUCUUCCCCAA